AUUGAGCGCUGGCGGCAUGCCUUACACAUGCAAGUCGAACGGCAGCGGGGACUUCGGUCCGCCGGCGAGUGGCGAACGGGUGAGUAAUGUAUCGGAACAUACCUUUCAGUGGGGGAUAACGUAGCGAAAGUUACGCUAAUACCGCAUAUUCUGUGAGCAGGAAAGCAGGGGAUCGCAAGACCUUGCGCUGAUUGAGCGGCCGAUAUCAGAUUAGCUAGUUGGUGAGGUAAAGGCUCACCAAGGCUACGAUCUGUAGCGGGUCUGAGAGGAUGAUCCGCCACACUGGGACUGAGACACGGCCCAGACUCCUACGGGAGGCAGCAGUGGGGAAUUUUGGACAAUGGGCGAAAGCCUGAUCCAGCCAUGCCGCGUGAGUGAAGAAGGCCUUCGGGUUGUAAAGCUCUUUCGGCCGGGAAGAAAUCGCAUCAGCUAAUACCUGGUGUGGAUGACGGUACCGGAAUAAGAAGCACCGGCUAACUACGUGCCAGCAGCCGCCGCUGUAA
rnacentral:rRNA from 1 species